GAUGAACGCUGACGGCGUGCCUAAUACAUGCAAGUCGAGCGAACGGACGAGAAGCUUGUUUCUUUGAUGGUAGCGGCGGACGGGCGAGUAACAAGUGGAUAACCUACUUAUAAUUCUGGGAUAAUUUCGGGAAACAGGAGCUAAUACCGCAUCAUAUUUUGAACGGCAUGGUUCAAAAGUGAAUGACGGUCUUGCUGUCUCUAUUAGCUGGAUCCGCGCUGCAUUAGUUAGUUGGUAAGGUAACGGCCUACCAAGGCGACGAUGCAUAGCCGACCUGAGAGGGUGAUCAGCCACACUGGAACUGAGACACGGUCCAGACUCCUACGGGAGGCAGCAGUGGGGAAUCUUGCACAAUGGGCGAAAGCCUGACGGAGCAACGCCGCGUGGGUGAUGAAGGUCUUCGGAUCGUAAAGCUCUGUUAUUAGGAAAGAAAAUAUGUGUAAGUAACUGUGCACGUCUUGACGGUACCUAAACAGAAAGCCACGGCUAACUUCGUG
rnacentral:rRNA from 1 species